UUCCUUGUUUGUGUAUCAAUUGUAGAUUUUUGGUUUGCAGUUAUUCUGAAGUUUUGAUAUAAGAGUCUAUAUGUAUAUGAGAUUGUUUUAAGUUGUUGUUCUCUUAAUUGCAAGUUCAUCUCCAGUGUCCUGCAUUUGUACCCACCUCUUCUCAUGAUUUCUGAUUUUGGUGGUAUAAUUGUGCAUGGAUGAUUUCGUAUCUUUACUGUAUAUAUACCUUUACUGGUGAGCCUUGUCAUUUGUGGAAUUUUUGUUUCCUGUUGCUGUCUUUUCUUUUCUGCCUAGAGAAGUUCCUUUAGUAUUUGUUGUAAGGCUGGUUUAGUGUUGCUGAAUUCUCUCAGCUUUUGCUUAUCUGUGAAGGUUUUGAUUUCUCCUUCAAAUCUGAAUGAGAGCCUUGCUGGGUAGAGUAAUCUUGGUUGGAGGUUUUUUCCUUUCAUCACGUUAAGUAUAUCAUGCCACUCCCUUCUGGCCUGCAGAGUUUCUGCUGAAAAAUCUGCCGAUAACCUUAUUGGGGUUCCCUUGUAUGUUACUUGUUUCUUUUCCCUAGCUGCUUUCAAGAUUUUCUCUUUGUCUUUAAUUUUGGUCAGUUUGAUUAAUAUGUGUCUCGGUGUAUUCCUCCUUGGGUUUAUUUUAUAUGGUACUCGUUGUGCUUCCUGGAUUUGAGUGAGUGGUUCCUUUCCCAUGUUAGGGAAGUUUUCGGCUAUUAUCUCUUGGAAUAUUUUUUCUGUCCCCUUCUCUCUCUCUUCUCCUUCUGGCACCCCUAUAAUACGGAUGUUGGUGCGUUUAACAUUGUCCCAGAGUUCUCUGAGACUCUCUUCAUUUGUUUUCAAUCUUUUUUCUCUUUUCUGUUCUGCAUCCGUAAUUUCCACUAAUCUGUCCUCCACCUCGCUUAUUCGUUCUUCUGCCUCCUGUAUUCUGCUGUUAGCUGCUUCUAGUGAAUUUUUUAUUUCAGUUAUUGUAUUUUGCAUCUCUUCUUGUUUAAGUUUUAUAUCUUGUAUCUCUUUGGUCAGUGUUUCCUGUAAGUUAUCCAUCUUUGCCUCCAGUUUAUUUCCAAUGUCUUGCAUCAUCUUCAGCAUCAACAGUCUAAAGUCUUUUUCCUGGAGGCUGAUAAUCUCCAGAUCUCUUAGCUGUUUUUCUAGAGUUUUUUCUUUCUCCCUUAUCUGAGUUAUAGUUCUCUGCCUUUUCAUUUUUAUAGGCUUUUGGUGUGGUCUCUUUUUUGCAGAUAAUAAGGUUGUAACCUCUCUUACUUCUGAUGUCUGCCCCCCUUAUGGCUGAAUUUGGUACAGGGGCUUGCUGUAGGCUUCCUGAUUGGAGGGACUGAUGCUUGCCCACUGGUAGGUAGGGCUGAUUCUUAUCCCUCUGGUGAAUGGGGUUUGUCUCUGGGUGAUAUUAGAGGCAGCUGUGUGCCUGGAGUGGUCUUUAGGCAGCCUAUUUAUGGAUGGGUGGGGCUGUGAUCCCACCUGGAUUGUUGUUUAGCCUGGGGCUUCUCAGUGCUAAUGGGUGAGGCCAGAUUUUCCACAAAUGGCCACCUCUAGAGCAACACAUGCUGAUGAAUAUUCUGGAGAACUUUGUUUCCAACGUCCUUCCCCCACAAUGAGCCACAGUCACUACAUUUUCUCAGGAGAUACUCCAAGCACUACAGUCAGGUCCGACACAGAUUCUUUCCUUUUCCCUGGGAUUCUGCAUAUGAAAGACUGUGUGCACCUUUCAAGAAUGGGGUCUCCAUCUCCCCCAGUCCCAUGGAGCUCCUGUGCACAAGCCCCACUUGCCUUCAAUGCCAGAUGCUCCAGGGGCUCUUUAUCCCAGUGCCAGAUCCCCAGGUGUGGGGACCUAACAUGAGGCUCAGCACUCCCACUCCUGUAGGUGAGUCUCUGUGACAGUUACUUUCCAGUCUGUAAACUGCCCACCUGGGGUUGCUUAUAUUGUGUAAUUGCCCCUCCUAACAUCUUGAUGUGGCCUCUUCUUUGUCUUCUGGAGGAGGAUAUCUUUUUGAGAGAUUCCAGUCUAUUUGGUUG
rnacentral:lncRNA from 1 species